rnacentral:rRNA from 1 species
UAGUCCACGCCGUAAACGAUGGAUACUAGGUGUCCGGGAUAUUAACCUCCUGGGUACUACAGUUAACGCGUUAAGUAUCCCGCCUGGGGAGUACGGUCGCAAGGCUAAAACUCAAAGGAAUUGACGGGGGCCCGCACAAGCGGUGGAGUAUGUGGUUUAAUUCGAAGCAACGCGCAGAACCUUACCUACCCUUAACAUUUCACGACGUAUACAGAGAUGCAUAUUUCUCUUCGGAGACGUGAGGAUAGGUGCUGCAUGGCUGUCGUCAGCUCGUGUCGUAAGAUGUCUGGUUAAGUCCAAUAACGAGCGCAACCCUUAUCCUUAGUUACCAGCAUUAAGUUGGGGACUCUAGGGAGACUGCCGGUGUUAAACCGGAGGAAGGCGGGGAUGACGUCAAGUCCUCAUGGCCCUUACGGGUAGGGCUACACACGUACUACAAUGGCAGAUACAAACCGUUUGCGAAGCCGCGAGGUGGAGCCAAUCCCAGAAAGUGCGUCCCAGUUCGGAUUGGAGUCUGGAACUCGACUCCAUGAAGCGGAA